UACGGGGGGGGCAAGCGUUGUUCGGAAUUACUGGGCGUAAAGGGCUCGUAGGCGGCCAACUAAGUCAGACGUGAAAUCCCUCGGCUUAACCGGGGAACUGCCUCUGAUACUGGAUGGCUUGAGGUUGGGAGAGGGAUGCGGAAUUCCAGGUGUAGCGGUGAAAUGCGUAGAUAUCUGGAGGAACACCGGUGGCGAAGGCGGCAUCCUGGACCAAUACUGACACUGAGGAGCGAAAGCCAGGGGAGCAAACGGG
rnacentral:rRNA from 1 species